rnacentral:rRNA from 1 species
ACGAACGCUGGCGGCACGCUUAACACAUGCAAGUCGAACGAGAGAAGAGGAGCUUGCUUUUCUGAUCUAGUGGCGGACGGGUGAGUAACACGUGAGCAAUCUGCCUUUCAGAGGGGGAUACCGAUUGGAAACGAUCGUUAAUACCGCAUAACAUAAUUGAACCGCAUGAUUUGAUUAUCAAAGAUUUAUCGCUGAAAGAUGAGCUCGCGUCUGAUUAGCUAGUUGGUAAGGUAACGGCUUACCAAGGCGACGAUCAGUAGCCGGACUGAGAGGUUGAUCGGCCACAUUGGGACUGAGACACGGCCCAGACUCCUACGGGAGGCAGCAGUGGGGAAUAUUGCACAAUGGAGGAAACUCUGAUGCAGCGAUGCCGCGUGAGGGAAGAAGGUUUUAGGAUUGUAAACCUCUGUCUUCAGGGACGAAAAAAGACGGUACCUGAGGAGGAAGCUCCGGCUAACUACGUGCCAGCAGCCGCGGUAAUACGUAGGGAGCGAGCGUUGUCCGGAAUUACUGGGUGUAAAGGGAGCGUAGGCGGGAUCGCAAGUCAGAUGUGAAAACUAUGGGCUUAACCCAUAAACUGCAUUUGAAACUGUGGUUCUUGAGUGAAGUAGAGGUAAGCGGAAUUCCUAGUGUAGCGGUGAAAUGCGUAGAUAUUAGGAGGAAUAUCAGUGGCGAAGGCGGCUUACUGGGCUUUAACUGACGCUGAGGCUCGAAAGCGUGGGGAGCAAACAGGAUUAGAUACCCUGGUAGUCCACGCCGUAAACGAUGAUUACUAGGUGUGGGGGGACUGACCCCUUCCGUGCCGCAGCAAACGCAAUAAGUAAUCCACCUGGGGAGUACGACCGCAAGGUUGAAACUCAAAGGAAUUGACGGGGGCCCGCACAAGCAGUGGAGUAUGUGGAUUAAUUCGAAGCAACGCGAAGAACCUUACCAGGUCUUGACAUCGUAUGCAUAGCUCAGAGAUGAGUGAAAUCUCUUCGGAGACAUAUAGACAGGUGGUGCAUGGUUGUCGUCAGCUCGUGUCGUGAGAUGUUGGGUUAAGUCCCGCAACGAGCGCAACCCUUACUGUUAGUUGCUACGCAAGAGCACUCUAGCAGGACUGCCGUUGACAAAACGGAGGAAGGUGGGGAUGACGUCAAAUCAUCAUGCCCCUUAUGACCUGGGCCUCACACGUACUACAAUGGCUGUCAACAGAGGGAAGCAAAGCCGCGAGGUGGAGCAAACCCCUAAAAGCAGUCUUAGUUCGGAUUGUAGGCUGCAACCCGCCUACAUGAAGUCGGAAUUGCUAGUAAUCGCAGAUCAGCAUGCUGCGGUGAAUACGUUCCCGGGCCUUGUACACACCGCCCGUCACGCCAUGGGAGUCGGUAACACCCGAAGCCUGUAGUCUAACCGCAAGGAGGACGCAGUCGAAGGUGGGAUUGAUGACUGGGGUG